UACAUACAUAUUCAUCUUUGAAACAACUCACUCUCAAAUCUUAUUAGAAACCGUAAAACUCUUUCUAUCAUCCAACUCAGAAUCGAACAUGAAUAAUCUAGAUUGAAANUUCUUAGUAAUAGGAUUAAUAGAAAUAAGAUUCUCGGAUAUCUUUUAUUCCUACUAAUCUUUUAUAAUGCGAACCAAACGCACCCUAAAAGUAUUCUAGUCCUACUCAAAAAUCACAUCUUUAAUAAUAAUCCCCACUACAUAAGGAAGAGCACUUGUUAGGUCCAAAUUUGCUCCCAAGUUACCAAUUCCCAAAGUAAAGCCACACCUUUUCCACGAAGCAACCCAUUAGUUGAUGGAGAAGCGCUUUUCAAGUUUCCUCUUGGAAAGGUACACUCCCUGUGACUCCCAAAAGCCCAAGUGCUGCUGCAGCAGGCCUGCAGCUUCUUCCAAAAUCCAAACCUGGAACUAAUUCUAUUUAUUAAGUUAUUGAAUCUUUUUUUCUUUUCUUUUCUUUUCUUGAGAGAUAGAUAGCAAGAUACUUGCUUCGUUUAUUUCAUUUAGAAAUAAACUUAGUCAGAUUGGUCUGACUCUUUUAACAUGGUAUCAGAACUUACAAAGUGAUCGAGUUGAUUUUGAUUUAGCCAACUCGUUUUUCCAACCUAAUU
rnacentral:lncRNA from 1 species